GUGACAGUCAAUAUGUGAACUAUAUGAAUAUUAUGUAUACUUGCCACCAGACAGUCAAUAUGUAAACAAGUCGAUUUAGAGCUCAGAUGGUACCUAGAGCAUAUUACAUGGAAUAUUUUGAACAUCCAUGUUUAAGUUCACAUAUUUCAUCUAUGUUUCCUUGACGGAUCACUUUUAAAGGGUUGUUACCCAUAUAUUUUUAUAAUAUUGUAUUUUGGUGGUUAGCAUGUUAGAUCACGUAAGCACUGAUGAUGAUUGGUCAUCCAAUCGAAAACUAGUUCUGUGAUGUAGCCCUUAUUUAAGUAUUUUCUGAUGCAAAGUGGCUCAACCAACCAAUUCCUGAGCCACCCUCCAUCUGAAAAUACUUAAAUAAGGGAUAACUUUAAUGUAAAAGCGUUUUGCUAAAAUUGUCGAUUGUGGGUUAGGCCACUUUGCAUCUCAUAGCAUCAAUAAUGCAUUUAAUAAUGCAUUAGUAAUGCAGGCUCUUGAGAAACCGAUAUAUGUACGUAGGAAAAUAGUAAUGGUCAAAAUGCUAUGAGUCGAUUAUCAAAACUAUUUAAGAUUGCUCCUUGUCGAAGAACACCAAAAUGAGAUUAGUAGGGGAAUGGGGGGCAUGACGGGGUCUCGAGGUAAGACGGGGUACCGCACACAAACAAGAAACUACACGUUGGUGAAUAGCAUGCAGUAACUCAAUAGGAAGAGUCAUUCGAUUAACGGUCCCUGCAAGAGAAACCGUGAAUGAGAGUGCACGCGUUUUUUGUUUACAAACGGAAAACUGUUUUAGCGAUCCGUUGAUCUAAUUUUGUGCAAGGACAACCAUCGUUAUUUUAAGUUACCUUUUGAGGCAAGAUGGGGUAUUGGGUGCGGGGUAUGAUGGGACAUUGGUGGUAAGUCUGGGUUAAUUUAAAUUUCUUAAUAAAUAACAUUGGAUUAUUAUUUUAGAUAAUACCAUGGUACGUACUUACAAGAAAAAAACAAAAAGAGGAGAGUGGUCGAGAGAUGCUAUGAAAACAGCCAUAGAUAAAGUGACAUCGUCAGAACCCUGGGUAGGCUGCCAGAUCUGUGGAUGUUGAGCUCACAAUGCUUGUGUUAGGGUGGACAAUGAAGAUCUGGAGCAAAUACACAUUUUUGUUUGUUUUGUGAGAAUUAAUUAGCAUCACCAUCAUGCCCCAAUUCCAUUACCCCAUCAUACCCCAUAGUAUGGGGCAAGAUGGUUUUUCAUAAUGUUCUUAUUAAUGGCUAAUUGUUGAAAAAUGUGAUAGGUUGAUUUUCCAAAGAUUGUACCAAAUCAUAGUUAGAUUAAUGACGUAACGUGCCAUCAAUUAAAAAUAGUAAUAAACGUAGUAAUUAUGUUGUA